GAGGGUAGAGAGUCCCAGUCACUGAAGUCGCCCAGCCGGCACUCCCCGCACCCGCCUCAGGCUGCAGGGCCUGAGGAGGCUCCAUCCCAGCUGCGGCCCAGGGCCCACUUUCCGUCCCACUAACGCUGGGCUGCACAUGAACUUGCAGAAUCCUGGGCUGGGUCCUGUGGGGGACGCAGAGAUGAACGAGGCCCAGCCUGCAGCUCCAGGGAGCUUGCAACGUGUCCCCUGAUCGCUGCCACCAUCAAAGGCAUGUGACGCCUGCCCGUGGAAGAAGAGAGAGAGCCGGCUUCCCAGGGGAGGAUGGCAGCCGUGAGGAGUGUGGUGAUUGUUGAAGCUUAAAACCAUUAGGAUGUCAAGAGGCAGAAACGAGGGGCACUCACUGUAGGGGAACAGCGAGAGCAAAACCAUGGAGGUGCGAGCAUGUUCUGGAACGUUCCUGCAGUCUGGUUUGACUGGUGCACACGGGGAAAUAGUGACCUACUCACUCUUUCCGUGGAUAAGUCAUCGAAGGUGCCAGGGACUUCGUCUAGACUUCCGACAGGCCGAGGGCUCCCAGGGCAAAGACCUACAGGUCCACAGACCUACAGGUUCGCAGACAGGAGCAGGGGGGCACAGAGGCUGAAGAGACUUGCUGGGAGCCACAGAGGACAUUAGUGAUUCAGGUUUUGGCGUCCUGUGAACUGCGCAGAUGCUUGCAUUCCCGUGGGAGCUCAGCUUCUGCAGGGCGUGCAGCACCCUCUUCUGCGGUCCCGGGAGCCCCACCCCACAGGUGAGGCUGUUGCUCCGUGGAGAACCAGCUCCCUCCUCUUAGACCUCCGGGGGCCGAGCUCUGGCCGCCCCGCUGGGAGGAUGUGGGGAAAAUACUUCACAUUCCUUCCUGAAGGAUUCACGGCCAAGAAAACCAGAUAUGGCUGAUUUGUCCACCAGGCUCCUCUGCCACAUUCAGCAGAGCUGAAUGAAUUGCCCCUGUCCUACUUCCCACAGCGAAAGGAGGCCCCCGAAAACAUGGCCAAGGCCACGCUGUGCACCAGGCGAAGGCCGCGCCGUGACACGGGAAGAUGGCCGUGACGGAAUCCAAUCGUCAGCUGAAAAAGCAGCUUUUAAAGCAGCAUUACAGCGCGAGCCAGUUUUUUCAUAAACAUCAAAUGACAUAUUUAGACAAAGAAAAGACCUGAGGCGGCACACACCAACAUCCUUGUGUCCUCUGUGUGGUGAGGUGACGGGUCAUCUUCCUUUACUCAUCUGAGCUGGUUUCCACAUCCUAACAAUUCUACAGUGAGUGCAAUGACCUCUUCUUGGAGAGUAUUUGAAGAAAAGGUACUUUUCAAUGAUAAAAGUAAUGCAGACUCAUAACAAAAAUCUAAGCAAGCAGAUGUAUGUUCCACAAAAGCGAAGGCCUCUUUCUGGACUCUGCACCCCUCCUGUGAGCGUUUCCCAGGAAAACCCGGACGACGACGGCGAUGCCUGCCUUGUUGGGGGUUUUGUCACAAUCAAGUGAGCUAAUACAUGUACAGCGGUUAGAGCCGUGCCUGGCAUAUAAAAAGCAUAUGCGAACUUUAA